rnacentral:rRNA from 1 species
GAUGAACGCUGGCGGCGUGCCUAAUACAUGCAAGUCGAGCGAACGGACGAGAAGCUUGCUUCUCUGAUGUUAGCGGCUGACGGGUGUGUAACACGUGGAUAACCUACCUAUAAGACUGGGAUCACUUCGGGAAACCGGAGCUAAUCCCGGCUGAUAUUUUGAACCGCAUGGUUCAUAAGUGAAAGACGGUCUUGCUGUCACUUCUAGAUAGAUCCGCGCUGCAUUAGCUAGUUGGUAAGGUAACGGCUUACCAAGGCAACGAUGCAUAGCCGACCUGAGGGGGUGAUCGGCCACACUGGAACUGAGACACGGUCCAGACUCCUACGGGAGGCAGCAGUAGGGAAUCUUCCGCAAUGGGCGAAAGCCUGACGGAGCAACGCCGCGUGAGUGAUGAAGGUCUUCGGAUCGUAAAACUCUGUUAUUAGGGAAGAACAUAUGUGUAAGUAACUGUGCACAUCUUGACGGUACCUAAUCAGAAAGCCACGGCUAACUACGUG